rnacentral:rRNA from 1 species
UACGUAGGCAGCGAGCGUUGUUCGGAAUUACUGGGCGUAAAGAGUGUGUAGGCGGUGCUCUAAGUUCGGUGUGAAAGCUCCUGGCUUAACUGGGAGAGGUCAAGGGAAACUGCUGGGCUAGAGUGUGGUAGAGGAAGCUAGAAUUCCCGGUGUAGCGGUGAAAUGCGUAGAUAUCGGGAGGAAUACCUAUGGCGAAAGCAGGCUUCUGGACCAUCACUGACGCUGAGCUGCGAAAGCUAGGGGAGCAAACAGG